GCGAGUGGGGGUUCGGCGGCCUCACCUGUCCUCACUCAGCGGCGGCGAGAGGCGGCGGCGGCAGCGCGUCCGGCGGAGAGGGCCGCCGCCAGGAAUGAAUCUGAAGUCUGCUGCAGUAAAACACUGAAGGCUUUAAAAUGUUUUCUUGCGUAAAAGUCAAACUUUAAGUAGCUGCUUAUGAGGAUAGGGAAGGCAGGAAGCUAAUGUCUGUCUCAAGACACAGGACAGCUGUUUGCUCAUCAACCUCAACUGUGUGUGCAACAGAAGAACAUGGCGCAAGAAACUAAUCACAGCCAAGCACCUAUGCUUUGCUCCACUGGCUGCGGAUUUUAUGGAAACCCUCGUACAAAUGGCAUGUGCUCAGUAUGCUAUAAAGAACAUCUUCAAAGACAGAACAGUAGCAAUGGUAGAAUAAGCCCACCUGCAGCUUCUGUCAGCAGUCUGUCUGAAUCCUUACCAGUACAGUGCGCAGAUGGCAGUGUCCCAGACGCUCAGUCGGCGCUAGAUUCUACGUCUUCAUCUAUGCAGCCAGGCCCUGUAUCAAAUCAGUCACUUUUAUCAGAAUCUGUAGCACCUUCCCAAGUGGACAGUACAUCAGUGGACAAAGCAGUAUCCGAGACAGAAGACCUGCAAGCUUCAGUAUCAGAUACGACACAGCAGCCAUCUGAAGAGCAAAGCAAGUCUCUUGAAAAACCAAAACAAAAA
rnacentral:lncRNA from 1 species